AUAACUGAAGCAGAAAUGGACGUUGCAAUAAAAAUCUUCUCCCAAAGAAAAUCCCUGACUCAGAUGGCUUCACGAAUGAAUUCUAUACUAUUUAUGGAAGAAAUCAAGCCAUUCUACAUAAACACUUCCUAAAAUAAAGGAGGAAGAGAGACUUCGUAUCUAGUUUUUUGAGGUCAGCAAAUUGUGAUGUUACAGCAACUAUUACAGUUGGAGUAGUCAGCUUCUGCGCAUGUAGCGACAGCAAGGAGAGUAAAAUGGCAGAUUCUGGAAGAUCAUGUCAGCAACCCAAAACCUGACAUUUAAAGUUUCAUGUUCUUGUAAGGAGGCCGUGGGCCCAGAAGGUGCACCUUCCAAGUGACCAAUCCCUGAUCACCACAGAACUCAGCUGUUGUCUUUGUUCCUUGUUCAAUUUCUAUUUUUCUCCUACUUGUUCACAUCCUAUAAAAACUUGCCAUUUUCUCCCCUGCCUCCCAGUUUUCCAGACCUUUGAGGACAGAGGCUGCCUACUCCAUGCAGUGUUCAAGUGUUAAAGAAAACGUUUAUAUAAAGCCUGUUUGUAUCACCUAAAUUGUCUUUAUUUUUUUAAAGCAUUUGUAAAACUUGAAGCAAUUUGGGGGAAGGGUAGGCAUGCAGUAAGAAUUCAAUAAAUUUUUACUGAAUCUAAGAAUAAAGAAAUAUCACCUGACCUCCAUAUCUUGAUCUUUUCAGAAAAAGAAAAGGGGCCAGUGGCCCCUUUAUUGUUAGGGUUUCCGUAAGUGCUAAUUCCU